GACGAACGCUGGCGGCGUGCUUAACACAUGCAAGUCGAACGGAAAGGCCCUGCUUUUGUGGGGUGCUCGAGCGGCGAACGGGUGAGUAACACGUGAGUAACCUGCCCUUGACUUUGGGAUAACUUCAGGAAACUGGGGCUAAUACCGGAUAGGAGCUCCUGCUGCAUGGUGGGGGUUGGAAAGGUUCGGCGGUUGGGGAUGGACUCGCGGCUUAUCAGCUUGUUGGUGGGGUAGUGGCUUACCAAGGCUUUGACGGGUAGCCGGCCUGAGAGGGUGACCGGCCACAUUGGGACUGAGAUACGGCCCAGACUCCUACGGGAGGCAGCAGUGGGGAAUAUUGCACAAUGGGCGGAAGCCUGAUGCAGCAACGCCGCGUGCGGGAUGACGGCCUUCGGGUUGUAAACCGCUUUCGCCUGUGACGAAGCGUGAGUGACGGUAAUGGGUAAAGAAGCACCGGCUAACUACGUG
rnacentral:rRNA from 1 species